rnacentral:rRNA from 1 species
UACGUAGGGGGCAAGCGUUGUCCGGAUUUAUUGGGCGUAAAGAGCGUGUAGGCGGCUUUACAGGUCCGUUGUGAAAACUCGAGGCUCAACCUCGAGACGCUGGUCGGAAACCGUGAACUAGAGUCCGGAAGAGGAGAGUGGAAUUCCUGGUGUAGCGGUGAAAUGCGCAGAUAUCAGGAAGAACACCCGUGGCGAAGGCGGCUCUCUGGGACGGUACUGACGCUGAGACGCGAAAGCGUGGGGAGCGAACAGG